rnacentral:lncRNA from 1 species
GAAUGUGGACAAAUUAAAGAAUUUUCUUCAGAAAAAAGUAUGUGUUCAUAUUGUGUUAAUUGAUAUUUUAUCGUGUGUUUUUCUAUGUUGUGAUGUUAUACUAUUGUUUCAGAACUGGGAGAAGGUUUGGUACCAUUAAAACGUUUAAUACCGAUGCAAAUGUUUGCAGCGGUCUUAAGUCAGGAGUUGUCGUUUGUUUAUGUAAUUUAUACGUGUUUCUCGUUUCUCGUUUUUUAUAGAUUAGACUGUUGGUAUUCCCGUUUGAAUGGUUUUACACUAGUAAUUUUUGGGGCCCUUUAUAGCUUGUUGUUCAGUGUGAGCCAAGGUUCCGUGUUGAAGGCCGUACCUUGACCUAUAAUGGUUUACUUUUAUAAAUUGUUAUUUGGAUGGAGAGUUGUCUCAUUGGCACUCAUACCACAUCUUCCUAUAUCUAU